GAUGAACGCUGGCGGCGUGCCUAAUACAUGCAAGUCGAGCGAACAGAUGAGGAGCUUGCUCCUCUGACGUUAGCGGCGGACGGGUGAGUAACACGUGGAUAACCUACCUAUAAGACUGGGAUAACUUCGGGAAACCGGAGCUAAUACCGGAUAAUAUAUUGAACCGCAUGGUUCAAUAGUGAAAGACGGUUUUGCUGUCACUUAUAGAUGGAUCCGCGCCGCAUUAGCUAGUUGGUAAGGUAACGGCUUACCAAGGCAACGAUGCGUAGCCGACCUGAGAGGGUGAUCGGCCACACUGGAACUGAGACACGGUCCAGACGCCUACGGGAGGCAGCAGUAGGGAAUCGUCCGCAAUGGGCGAAAGCCUGACGGAGCAACGCCGCGUGAGUGAUGAAGGUCUUCGGAUCGUAAAACUCUGUUAUUAGGGAAGAACAAAUGUGUAAGUAACUAUGCACGUCUUGACGGUACCUAAUCAGAAAGCCACGGCUAACUACGUG
rnacentral:rRNA from 1 species